UUCUUACUUUGGCAGUAGUAUACUAAAAUUGCAAGGAUACAGAGGAUUAGCAUGGCCCCUGCUCAAGGUUGAUACACAAAUUCAUGAAGCGUUCCAUAUUUUU
ensembl:snRNA U6 U6 spliceosomal RNA